CAAAUACUCCCAUCGUCCGAAAAUACUUGUCAUCAAAAUGGAUAAAAAGAGAUGUAUUUAGAACUAAAAUACGUCUAUAUACAUCCCCUUUUAUUCAUUUUGAUGACAAGUAUUUCCGGACGGAGGGAGUAUUUA
rfam:Triticum aestivum genome assembly, contig: Triticum_aestivum_CS42_TGACv1_scaffold_345092_4DL